rnacentral:misc_RNA from 1 species
UCCGAGUUGACCCCGGCAGUCUCCCAUGAGUCCCCGCCAUAACGCGCUGGCAACAUAGAACGAGGGUUGCGCUCGUUGCGGGACUUAACCCAACAUCUCACGACACGAGCUGACGACAACCAUGCACCACCUGUGCAGGACCCUUGCGGACCUCACAUCUCUGUGAGAUUUCCCUGCAUGUCAAACCCAGGUAAGGUUCUUCGCGUUGCCUCGAAUUAAACCACACGCUCCGCUGCUUGUGCGGGCCCCCGCCUAUUCCUUUGAGUUUCAGCCUUGCGGCCGUACUCCCCAGGCGGGACACUUACUGCGUUAGCGACGGCACCGAGGGGGUCGCUCCCCCCGACGCCUAGUGUCCAUCGUUUACGGCGUGGACUAC